GGCUUGGUGGCACAGUGGUUAGCACUACUGUCUCAUAUCAAGAAGGUUGUGGGUUUGAAUCCAGCCUGGGGCC